rnacentral:tRNA from 1 species
CGAGGUGUCGCCUAGCAGCCAUGGCAGCUGGCUUACAUCCAGCCACACGGGGGUGCGAGUCCCUCCACCUCGA